GACGAACCACACGAACGUUAUCCGGAUUUACUGGGUUUAAAGGGUGCGUAGGUGGAUAAUUAAGUCAGUGGUGAAAUCUUCAGGCUUAACCUGGAAACUGCCAUUGAUACUAUUUGUCUUGAAUACUUUGGAGGUAAGCGGAAUAUGUCAUGUAGCGGUGAAAUGCUUAGAUAUGACAUAGAACACCAAUUGCGAAGGCAGCUUACUACACAGUAAUUGACACUGAGGCACGAAAGCGUGGGGAUCAAACAGG
rnacentral:rRNA from 1 species